rnacentral:rRNA from 1 species
GACGAACGCUGGCGGCGUGCUUAACACAUGCAAGUCGAACGAUGAAGCUGGAGCUUGCUCCGGUGGAUUAGUGGCGAACGGGUGAGUAACACGUGAGCAAUCUGCCCUUGACUCUGGGAUAACUGCGGGAAACUGUAGCUAAUACCGGAUACUUUCACUGGAAGGCAUCUUCUGGUGAAGAAAGAAUUUCGGUCAAGGAUGAGCUCGCGGCCUAUCAGCUUGUUGGUGAGGUAACGGCUCACCAAGGCGACGACGGGUAGCCGGCCUGAGAGGGUGACCGGCCACACUGGGACUGAGACACGGCCCAGACUCCUACGGGAGGCAGCAGUGGGGAAUAUUGCACAAUGGGCGCAAGCCUGAUGCAGCAACGCCGCGUGAGGGAUGAAGGCCUUCGGGUUGUAAACCUCUUUUAGCAGGGAAGAAGCGAAAGUGACGGUACCUGCAGAAAAAGCACCGGCUAACUACGUGCCAGCCGCCGUAAGAC